rnacentral:rRNA from 1 species
CUCCUUUGACGUUAGCGGCGGACGGGUGAGUAACACGUGGGUAACCUACCUAUAAGACUGGGAUAACUUCGGGAAACCGGAGCUAAUACCGGAUAAUAUUUCGAACCGCAUGGUUCGAUAGUGAAAGGUGGUUUUGCUAUCACUUAUAGAUGGACCCGCGCCGUAUUAGCUAGUUGGUAAGGUAACGGCUUACCAAGGCGACGAUACGUAGCCGACCUGAGAGGGUGAUCGGCCACACUGGAACUGANACACGGUCCAGACUCCUACGGGAGGCAGCAGUU